rnacentral:rRNA from 1 species
GACGAACGUUGGCGGCGUGCUUAACACAUGCAAGUCGAACGGAAAGGCCCUGCUUUUGUGGGGUGCUCGAGUGGCGAACGGGUGAGUAACACGUGAGUAACCUGCCCUUGACUUUGGGAUAACUUCAGGAAACUGGGGCUAAUACCGGAUAGGAGCUCCUGCUGCAUGGUGGGGGUUGGAAAGUUUCGGCGGUUGGGGAUGGACUCGCGGCUUAUCAGCUUGUUGGUGGGGUAGUGGCUUACCAAGGCUUUGACGGGUAGCCGGCCUGAGAGGGUGACCGGCCACAUUGGGACUGAGAUACGGCCCAGACUCCUACGGGAGGCAGCAGUGGGGAAUAUUGCACAAUGGGCGGAAGCCUGAUGCAGCAACGCCGCGCGCGGGAUGACGGCCUUCGGGUUGUAAACCGCUUUCGCCUGUGACGAAGCGUGAGUGACGGUAAUGGGUAAAGAAGCACCGGCUAACUACGUGCCAGCAGCCGCGGUGAUACGUAGGGUGCGAGCGUUGUCCGGAUUUAUUGGGCGUAAAGGGCUCGUAGGUGGUUGAUCGCGUCGGAAGUGUAAUCUUGGGGCUUAACCCUGAGCGUGCUUUCGAUACGGGUUGACUUGAGGAAGGUAGGGGAGAAUGGAAUUCCUGGUGGAGCGGUGGAAUGCGCAGAUAUCAGGAGGAACACCAGUGGCGAAGGCGGUUCUCUGGGCCUUUCCUGACGCUGAGGAGCGAAAGCGUGGGGAGCGAACAGGCUUAGAUACCCUGGUAGUCCACGCUGUAAACGGUGGGUACUAGGUGUGGGGUCCAUUCCACGGGUUCCGUGCCGUAGCUAACGCUUUAAGUACCCCGCCUGGGGAGUACGGCCGCAAGGCUAAAACUCAAAGGAAUUGACGGGGCCCCGCACAAGCGGCGGAGCAUGCGGAUUAAUUCGAUGCAACGCGUAGAACCUUACCUGGGUUUGACAUGGAUCGGGAGUGCUCAGAGAUGGGUGUGCCUCUUUUGGGGUCGGUUCACAGGUGGUGCAUGCCUGUCGUCAGCUCGUGUCGUGAGAUGUUGGGUUAAGUCCCGCAACGAGCGCAACCCUUGUUCACUGUUGCCAGCACGUUAUGGUGGGGACUCAGUGGAGACCGCCGGGGUCAACUCGGAGGAAGGUGGGGAUGACGUCAAGUCCUCAUGCCCCUUAUGUCCAGGGCUUCACGCAUGCUACAAUGGCUGGUACAGAGAGUGGCGAGCCUGUGAGGGUGAGCGAAUCUCGGAAAGCCGGUCUCAGUUCGGAUUGGGGUCUGCAACUCGACCUCAUGAAGUCGGAGUCGCUAGUAAUCGCAAAUCAGCAACGCUGCGGUGAAUACGUUCCCGGGGCU